UCAGAUCUACUUAAUACCCAU
rnacentral:miRNA from 1 species